rnacentral:sRNA from 1 species
UUUUUGCGUUAACGAUAGAAGCGGCAUCCUUUUUUUAUUUUCAAAAAAAGAUAAAGCGGAUAGCGUGUUAAAAC